rnacentral:rRNA from 1 species
AUUGAACGCUGGCGGCAGGCCUAACACAUGCAAGUCGAGCGGAUGAAGGGAGCUUGCUCCUGGAUUCAGCGGCGGACGGGUGAGUAAUGCCUAGGAAUCUGCCUGGUAGUGGGGGAUAACGUCCGGAAACGGGCGCUAAUACCGCAUACGUCCUGAGGGAGAAAGUGGGGGAUCUUCGGACCUCACGCUAUCAGAUGAGCCUAGGUCGGAUUAGCUAGUUGGUGGGGUAAAGGCCUACCAAGGCGACGAUCCGUAACUGGUCUGAGAGGAUGAUCAGUCACACUGGAACUGAGACACGGUCCAGACUCCUACGAGAGGCAGCAGUGGGGAAUAUUGGACAAUGGGCGAAAGCCUGAUCCAGCCAUGCCGCGUGUGUGAAGAAGGUCUUCGGAUUGUAAAGCACUUUAAGUUGGGAGGAAGGGCAGUAAGUUAAUACCUUGCUGUUUUGACGUUACCAACAGAAUAAGCACCGGCUAACUUCGUGC